GAUGAAGAACGUAGCGAAAUGCGAUAAGUAAUGUGAAUUGCAGAAUUCCGUGAAUCAUCGAAUCUUUGAACGCACAUUGCGCCCUCUGGUAUUCCGGGGGGCAUGCCUGUCCGAGCGUCAUUUGCAACCCUCAAGCCCGGCUUGUGUGAUGGGUGCCGUCCCCUACGGGACGCGCCUCGAAGGCAAUGGCGGCGUCGCGGUUAUCCGAUCAGCCAAAGUGUAUGGGGCUUUGUCACUCACUUUACGGCCCGGACCGGCGCCAGUCCGAAUCAAUCUUUUUUCUAAAGUUGACCUCGGAUCAGGUAGGGAUACCCGCUGAACUUAAGCAUAUCAAUAAGCGGAGGA
rnacentral:misc_RNA from 1 species